rnacentral:rRNA from 1 species
AUACGUAGGGUGCAAGCGUUAAUCGGAAUUACUGGGCGUAAAGCGUGCGCAGGCGGUUUUGUAAGACAGUGGUGAAAUCCCCGGGCUCAACCUGGGAACUGCCAUUGUUACUGCAAGGCUGGAGUGCGGCAGAGGGGGAUGGAAUUCCGCGUGUAGCAGUGAAAUGCGUAGAUAUGCGGAGGAACACCGAUGGCGAAGGCAAUCCCCUGGGCCUGCACUGACGCUCAUGCACGAAAGCGUGGGGAGCAAACAGGAUUAGAUACCCUGGUAGUCCACGCCCUAAACGAUGUCAACUGGUUGUUGGGGAUUUAUUUUCUCAGUAACGAAGCUAACGCGUGAAGUUGACCGCCUGGGGAGUACGGCCGCAAGGUUAAAACUCAAAUGAAUUGACGGGG